rnacentral:tRNA from 1 species
UCGGACCUUUAGCUCAGCUGGUUAGAGCUCUCGGCUCAUAACCGAGUGGUCGUAGGUUCAAAUGUCGCGAGUUCGAU